UACGAAGGGGGCUAGCGUUGUUCGGAAUUACUGGGCGUAAAGCGCACGUAGGCGGAUACUUAAGUCAGGGGUGAAAUCCCGGGGCUCAACCCCGGAACUGCCUUUGAUACUGGGUAUCUCGAGUCCGGAAGAGGUGAGUGGAAUUCCGAGUGUAGAGGUGAAAUUCGUAGAUAUCGGUAGGAACACCAGUGGCGAAGGCGGCUCACUGGUCCGGUACUGACGCUGAGGUGCGAAAGCGUGGGGAGCAAACAGG
rnacentral:rRNA from 1 species